CAGUCGCCGCGGGAAUACAGAGGGUGCGAGCGUUAAUCGGAUUUACUGGGCGUAAAGCGUGCGUAGGCGGCUUUUUAAGUCGGAUGUGAAAUCCCUGAGCUUAACUUAGGAAUUGCAUUCGAUACUGGGAAGCUAGAGUAUGGGAGAGGAUGGUAGAAUUCCAGGUGUAGCGGUGAAAUGCGUAGAGAUCUGGAGGAAUACCGAUGUCGAAGGCAGCCAUCUGGCCUAAUACUGACGCUGAGGUACGAAAGCAUGGGGAGCAAACAGGAUUAGAUACCCCCGUAGUCCCUGUCUCUUAUAC
rnacentral:rRNA from 1 species